AUUGAACGCUGGCGGCAGGCCUAACACAUGCAAGUCGAGCGGUAGAGAGGUGCUUGCAUCUCUUGAGAGCGGCGGACGGGUGAGUAAUGCCCAGGAAUCUGCCUAGUGGUGGGGGGAUAACGUUCGGAAACGGACGCUAAUACCGCAUACGUCCUACGGGAGAAAGCGGGGGGAUCUUCGGACCUCGCGCCAUUAGAUGAGCCUAGGUCGGAUUAGCUAGUUGGUGAGGUAAUGGCUCACCAAGGCGACGAUCCGUAACUGGUCUGAGAGGAUGAUCAGUCACACUGGAACUGAGACACGGUCCAGACUCCUACGGGAGGCAGCAGUGGGGAAUAUUGGACAAUGGGCGAAAGCCUGAUCCAGCCAUGCCGCGUGUGUGAAGAAGGUCUUCGGAUUGUAAAGCACUUUAAGUUGGGAGGAAGGGUAGGUAACCUAAUACGUUGCUAC
rnacentral:rRNA from 1 species